rnacentral:lncRNA from 1 species
CAGCAUAUAUGGUUGCUUGCUAGCUCGCAAUGUACGGGGAAAUUAGGGAGAAGGACUCAUCACAUGGGGGUUGUGGAAAACCUUUCAAGUUAGAAUUAAAGCAAAUUCAUGACCAUGUUGAAAGAGAGAGUAUAUAUGUUAUGUUAUUGAUAUGAAACUAAGCAUUUUGUUCUUUUGCUUUUCUUUUUUGGACAUUAGCUUUGUCCUAGCUCCAUUAUUAAUAAUGACUCGUGGAGUGUCCACAACAUUCUGGCCUCUGGACAAUAAAAGCGAGAAGAUUCAAUUGUCAUCUUUAUUUUGUUUUUUCGGUAAAAAUUGUCCUUCCUUCUUAAAUAAGUGCUCCUAUUUUCCUGCAUAUAAUAAGGGGCUCCAUUAAGG